rnacentral:lncRNA from 1 species
UUCCUAACUGUCUUAGUUUCUUGUAUAGCUUGACGGAUCAAGAAAGCUGAAAUAACUGAAGACAUCAUCUUGACCGAAGUAAGUGUUUAACAAAAAGACUCCACACGAGUCUAGAACACGCGGAAGAUGCAGACUCAACUGAAAGCUCCUAUCUAAAGGAAAUUGCAUCAGGAAUGACUGGAGAAAGAAAGGCCACAUGAAUAAAUUCUAAGACACGCC